rnacentral:misc_RNA from 1 species
AAGUCGUAACAAAGUUUCCGUAGGUGAACCUGGAAGGAUCAUUAACACGUAUCGUACGUUAAAAACCCCGGUGGACGAGACGUGAGAGGGUGUGGUUAAAAAAUCGUCUUUCCAUUUGAAGCCGGGGAGUUGAACCAGGCCGCUUUAGUUGAAAAAUAAACCCGAACUAACCUGACAAAACCUGUCCGAAAGGACAACGAAACCCGAACAACUGUUAACAAUGGAUAUCUUGGUUCUC